UACUUAUGGUGCGAGCGUUAAUCGGAAUUACUGGGCGUAAAGCGUGCGCAGGCGGUUAUGUAAGACAGAUGUGAAAUCCCCGGGCUCAACCUGGGAACUGCAUUUGUGACUGCAUGGCUAGAGUACGGUAGAGGGGGAUGGAAUUCCGCGUGUAGCAGUGAAAUGCGUAGAUAUGCGGAGGAACACCGAUGGCGAAGGCAAUCCCCUGGACCUGUACUGACGCUCAUGCACGAAAGCGUGGGGAGCAAACAGGAUUAGAUAACCCCGUAGUCC
rnacentral:rRNA from 1 species